AUUGAACGCUGGCGGCAGGCCUAACACAUGCAAGUCGAACGAGCGGCGGACGGGUGAGUAAUGUCUGGGGAUCUGCCCGAUAGAGGGGGAUAACUACUGGAAACGGUGGCUAAUACCGCAUACUAUCGGAUGAACCCAUAUGGGAUUAGCUAGUAGGUGGGGUAAAGGCUCACCUAGGCGACGAUCUCUAGCUGGUCUGAGAGGAUGAACAGACACACUGGAACUGAGACACGGCCCAGACUCCUACGGGAGGCAGCAGUGGGGAAUAUUGCACAAUGGGCGCAAGCCUGAUGCAGCCAUGCCGCGUGUAUGAAGAAGGCCUUAGGGUUGUAAAGUACUUUCAGCGAGGAGGCGUUACCCGCAGAAGAAGCACCGGCUAACUCCGUGCCAGCAGCCGCGGUAAUUC
rnacentral:rRNA from 1 species